rnacentral:lncRNA from 1 species
AGGCUCCAGAAUCGUACAAAAAUGUUACGGAUGUGGUUAAUACGUGUAAGUUUUAAAUACUCUGUACAUGCAAUUUUACCGCAAAUGUUUUUGUCGCAGGGACUCAGUAUAAUAACUGAAGUGCAGCAUAUGAAAACAGAUGUACAUGUGUCAUGUAUCUUCAAAUCCAAAGGGGCUCCUCUGUUUCCCGUAAAAAAUAGUUGUAGAGGUGGAAAAUGUUUUUUCUUUCUAAGAACCUGGGUUUAAGCCUCAAAAUUUUCUGCAAAAGAUUACAAUAAGUAGGGAUAAUAAAAAAAUUUCACUAAUGUGAUUGUCUUAUAGUGUCAAGCAUACAUGAUAGUAGUCUUACAGGAUUAAAAACAAAUUCUUUAUGAAUAUUUUCAAAUGAAUAUUUUUUAUGAAACUGUUCUGCUGUAAUUUAGGCAUCGAGUUAAGUCUGUGGAGGUUCAAGCAGAUCCUAUAAAGAAAUUGUGAGAAUUAGGUACCGAGGUUCUGAUACUUUUCCCCCUCUUCCUCUGCUGUUACCACCCCUCCUUUUCCUGAAAUUUAACUGCUUCACACUUUGAGUCGAGACAUCUCACACGCUUGUCAAAUAUUCACGACAUCAAAAACAGUCCACAUUGUCGAUGUUACGUUCAAUAUUAUUCAAGGUAUUUUUUUCUUCAGGUCACGAGGCAGGGAUUAGCAAGAAAGCGAUCAAAUUAAGACCCAUUGCUGUUAUCAAAGGAUAACACCACGUGUUGCUAUGGAAACAAGUACGUAUUCGUUGUGUGAUGUCAUUCGACAAAUAUGGUAUAGACGUGCGGUCAGAAUUUAUAGCAAGCGAGUGUUGACUACCUUUGCUGUGACCUAGUUUGAAUGGACAUGCAUUCAAAAUUGUUGCAUCAUUGUCUCUUGUAAAGGUGGAGUAAUACGGGCAACAAAAUUGCUGCAACUUGCAACAA